rnacentral:misc_RNA from 1 species
GGCUGAGUACCUUCCGACAUUAGAAGAGAUGCUUGAAUCACAGAUUAAAGAUGCAGUUGCAUCCAUUGAAAGUAGAAGGAAGCUCAUUAUAGCAUUAGCUCCUCUCUUUGGAAGGCCAGUGGAAGCAGAUCCACUUUUCUGCAGGAAGGCGACCUUUCUAUCUUCCUCUGGGGUAUUUACUUUUCUGGUUCAUGUUGCCAUCCCACUUCAGUUCCCUAAGCAGCAGCCAAGUUUGAUGCUUCAGAGUUCCCAGCACUUUAAUUCUCAAGGUCUACCCAUCAAGUCUCCAGUCACUGCUGAGUACCCGUGGAGUCCCAGAUGGGAAACAUCAGAUAUGGCUGAGCGGAUCUUUGAUUUCAUUGUGGAAGAAUGCUUGAAUUUCAAGAAAUACUGCAACGAAUCCAUGCUUCAGAAUCGAUGAAAGCAGCUGUUACAAGAAUUCGUUUGUUCUACAUUUUGGUGAUGUCCUGUAUUCAAGUCUUUAGCUGUUGAUCUUUGUAUUGUAAUGUUUCUAGAUGUGCAUAAGAAAG